UACAGGGGGUGCAAACGUUGCUCGGAAUCAUUGGGCGUAAAGGGCUCGUAGGCGGCCUGUCGCGUCGGGAGUGAAAGCCCACUGCUUAACGGUGGGUCUGCUUCCGGUACGGGCGGGCUGGAGUAUGGCAGGGGAGACUGGAAUUCCUGGUGUAGCGGUGGAAUGCGCAGAUAUCAGGAGGAACACCCGUGGCGAAAGCGGCGCGCUGGACCACUACUGACGCUGAGGAACGAAAGCUAGGGGAGCAAACAGG
rnacentral:rRNA from 1 species